UAGGGAAUAUUGCACAAUGGGCGAAAGCCUGAUGCAGCAACGCCGCGUGCGCGAUGAAGGCCUUCGGGUUGUAAAGCGCUUUUCGGGGAGACGAGGAAGGACGGUAUCCCCGGAAUAAGGAUCGGCUAACUACGUGCCAGCAGCCGCGGUAAAACGUAGGAUCCGAGCGUUAUCCGAAUUCACUGGGCGUAAAGCGCGAGCAGGCGGUACGAUAAGUUGGGUGUAAAAUCUCCUGGCUCAACUGGGAGAGGACGUUCAAUACCGUCGAACUAGAGGGCGGUAGAGGGAGGUGGAAUUCCCGGUGUAGUGGUGAAAUGCGUAGAUAUCGGGAGGAACACCAGUGGCGAAAGCGGCCUCCUGGACCGUGCCUGACGCUGAGAUGCGAAAGCUAGGGGAGCGAACGG
rnacentral:rRNA from 1 species